rnacentral:rRNA from 2 species
UACGGGGGGGGCAAGCGUUGUUCGGAAUUACUGGGCGUAAAGGGCUCGUAGGCGGCCAACUAAGUCAGACGUGAAAUCCCUCGGCUUAACCGGGGAACUGCAUCUGAUACUGGAUGGCUUGAGAUUGGGAGAGGGAUGCGGAAUUCCAGGUGUAGCGGUGAAAUGCGUAGAUAUCUGGAGGAACACCGGUGGCGAAGGCGGCAUCCUGGACCAACACUGACGCUGAGGAGCGAAAGCCAGGGGAGCAAACGGG